ACUUUCAACAACGGAUCUCUUGGUUCUCGCAUCGAUGAAGAACGCAGCGAAUUGCGAUAAGUAAUGUGAAUUGCAGAAUUCAGUGAAUCAUSGAAUCUUUGAACGCACAUUGCGCCCUCUGGCAUUCCGGAGGGCAUGCCUGUUUGAGCGUCUCAUGCAUCAAAAGUCACACACAUUGUUGUGGUCAUGGCAUACGUGGGGCCCGCCUUGUGCAACCCCCACUGAGCUGAAAGUCAUAGGCGGACGUCACCUGAGGUCAGCACGUAGUAUGUAAAGCAAGUCGUACUGAUCGCAGAGGUGCCUCUGCCCAGGCCGC
rnacentral:rRNA from 1 species